AUCAGCAGAGCUAUUCAUUCGUUUCUCCACCGCCGCCAUCAUCGAAUGGUAAAAGCCCGCGUGUGUCAGUUUAUUUAAUAAAAAGUGCAGCAAAAGUUGUUGGAGCCCGUUUUCCAACCACCAGCAAGCGGAGUAGGUUAUCGGAACCAAUCGGGAAGAGCCAGAAUCGACCGAUUGCGGCUGGGAAGCACCCAACAUCCGCAGCAAGCCGAUACGAUACAGGACCCAAUAACGGGCCAGGGAAGCGCAGCCGGUUUUCAAUCCAACCCGUCUGUCGAAGGCCACCCACGCAACACGCACGGUGUCAGUAGGUCCCAAAGCUAAGGCACACGAGAGGCACACGAUCGACAUAACCUCAAACCGUGCACGUGCUGAUUGGCCCUUGUACGGCUAGAAGGUCACGAGGCACGCAACCAAUCCCGGAAGUAGGCGUGGGACGACGAGCUUCUUCCAAAGGACGAGUGACGCAAUAGCCACCGGCGAAUCAUCCAAGCUACUGAGACUAGCGAGACACGAGCCAACAAAAGCCCCGAACGGCUCCAACUGGUCGUCCGGCAGGCACAUCACAUGGAACGGGCCUGGCGUAGUGGUUAGAAAUCACGCCUCUCACAACGAGGACC